UACCAGCACCCCGAGUGGUCGGGACGAUUAUUGGGCCUAAAGCAUCCGUAGCCGGUUCUACAAGUCUUCCGUUAAAUCCACCUGCUUAACAGAUGGGCUGCGGAGGAUACUAUGGAGCUAGGAGGCGGGAGAGGCAAGCGGUACUUAGUGGGUAGGGGUAAAAUCCGUUGAUCCAUUGAAGACCACCAGUGGCGAAGGCGGCUUGCCAGAACGCGCUCGACGGUGAGGGAUGAAAGCUGGGGGAGCAAACCGGG
rnacentral:rRNA from 1 species